rfam:Monodelphis domestica chromosome 5, whole genome shotgun sequence.
GCUUUCUGAGUCACUGGAGUAGUUACAGAGAAACCAGCUUCUUUCAGAGAGC